UACGAAGGGGGCUAGCGUUGCUCGGAAUUACUGGGCGUAAAGGGAGCGUAGGCGGGUUAUCAAGUUGGGGUGAAAGCCCGGGGCUCAACCUCGGAAUUGCCUUCAAAACUGAUAACCUGGAGUAUGGAAGAGGUAAGUGGAACUCCGAGUGUAGAGGUGAAAUUCGUAGAUAUUCGGAAGAACACCAGUGGCGAAGGCGACUUACUGGUCCAUUACUGACGCUGAGGCUCGAAGCGUGGGAGCAAACAGGG
rnacentral:rRNA from 1 species